GAUGAACGCUGGCGGCGUGCCUAAUACAUGCAAGUCGAGCGAACGGACGAGAAGCUUGCUUCUCUGAUGUUAGCGGCGGACGGGUGAGUAACACGUGGAUAACCUACCUAUAAGACUGGGAUAACUUCGGGAAACCGUAGCUAAUACCGGAUAAUCUUUUGAACCGUAUGGUUCAAAAGUGAAAGACGGUCUUGCUGUCACUUAUAGAUGGAUCCGCGCUGCAUUAGCUAGUUGGUAAGGUAACGGCUUAUCAAGGCAACGAUGCAUAGCCGACCGGAGAGGGGGGUCGGCGACAUGGGAAGUGGGACGGGGACCAGAGGCCUGCGAGAGGCAGCAGUAGGGAAUCUUCCGCAGUAGGCGAAAGCAUGACGGAGCAGCGGCACGUGAGUUGUGACAGUCUUCGGAGCGUAAAACUCGGUUAUUAGGGAAGAACAUAUGUGUAAGUAGCUGUGCACAGCUUGACGGUACCUAAUCAGAAAGCCACGGCUAACUACGUG
rnacentral:rRNA from 1 species